GAGACGCGUAUACAUUUCACCGAAGGCCCUCUCCGUAGGUUACUCGUAAGAAUGAAGGCUGUCGUACUGAUCCUGCUCGUGGCACUAACGGUUGGGCUCCUUAACUCCGUGUGCGCAAAGAAGAACGUGACAAGCGGAAUUUGUCUACACACACCGUGCACGAACGUGAGCCAGUGUGUUGGCGACUGUGGCGGUUGCAACGGCGAGAAAGGGCAAAACUCGCUCCAGAAGUUCUGUCAGCCCCGAAAUCCUGGCCAAGGAUCAAGUACGCGUCGACCUGGACCUCAGCUACGGAACUAACGCACAGUUCCAGUUUUAAACUUGAUGGUCAAAUAAAACAUGGUUUGGGAAUGGGGGAUUGAGUAUAAGACAGUGUUUGCAGAAUGUGGUUCGCGACUCCCAAAUGCUCGUGACAGAACCGAAGAAGGAUGCGAAGCGGCUCUGGAAC